GUGUGAGUGCCAAUGAGACAACUCUCCAUCCAAAUAACAAUUUAAAAAUUAAACCAUUAUAGGUUAAAGUACGGCCUUCAACACGGAGCCUAGGCUCACACCGAACAACAAGCUAUAAAGGGCCCCAACAUUACUAGUGUAAAACCAUUCAAACGGGAAAACCAACGGUCUAAUCUAUAUAACCAAAACGAGAAACGAGAAACACGUAUAUAUUACAUAAAAAAACGACAACUACUGUACAUCA
rnacentral:lncRNA from 1 species